UUGAAAAUUUUACAGAAAGCAAAGACACGAACUGAGAGAGAAAGAAAUAUAAAGUUGUCAAGCAAAGUCGAUGGGUCCACAGUAAUAGCAAUAACCGAAUGAGAGAAAUAAUCGAGAGUACAAAAUGGUGGUCAGAUAAGACAGAGAGGAAAAGAGGGUGGCCGCGUGGCAGUGGGACAUAUAAACACGCUCGCACACUUAUCUGGCAGUAAAGAUGUUUACAGCGUGGUCUGCGCCGCCACUAUCACUAUCACCCCAAAAGAACGGACCACUCUAAUUGAUUUGUGGCUCGGCUGCUAUCGGUGCUCGUAACUUAAAUUAAAUUACAUGGCCAGUUCAUCCGUGCACACUUCUGUGAACAGGACGCGGCAGGUCUUCCGUAAGAAAUGAAGAAUAAAAAAAGAAUAGAAAGCGACAAGAACAAUUGGACGAUUCGCCAGCGAACAAUCGGUUUUACGAUCAGUCGCGAGAACAUAGAAGGCCGACAGUCGAGCCAAGAACACUGUCUUCCAACGAGGAACGCGGCCAAAUGGAAGUUGGCAUUCCUGCGCAGCGUGGAGCCGACUCGUCCUAGUCCGCGCACCCGCUGCUCUCUCGGUUUUCUUCAUUCAUCGCGACCAACUUUUAGACAAUGUCGCGCCGUCGGGGGUGUCCACCCGAUCGCGACGAUCCUCUCUUCCUCGAUGACUCCAUCCGGCCAGUUUCUCCCCGACCGGUUUCAGCGGUUUCGUUUCAACGUUGGUCGAGAUUCUGUUGACAAAUGGAAAAAA